UUUUCUUGAAAGAGUGGGGUCUCCUUGAUGAUGCUCAGAGAUGCCUGUACCGAGAUGUAAUGCUGGAGAACUGGUCACUUAUAGCCUCCCUGGGUUGUUGGCAUGGAGUAAAAGCUGAGGAGGCCCCUUCUGAGGAAGGUACUUCUGUGGAAA